ACUCAAGAAAAGAAUUUAAGUUCAACCUAAAAUUAACCCCAUACAGUAAAAAUACAAUUUUAAUUUUAGAGCAAUUCAAAUAAGGUACAGCCUAUUUGAAAAAGGACACAACCUAGACAACCGGGUAACUCUUAAACUUCACUCGACAAAGUGGGCCUAAAAGCAGCCACCUUUUAAAAAGCGUCAAAGCUUAAUCGAGCCGUUAAUUAAUUCCAAUUAUACCCAAGAACCCUUAAACAAUAUUGAGUAAUUCUAUACUACUAUAGAAGAUUUUAUGUUAAAACUAGUAACAAGAAGAAGAACUUCUUACAUAAUGCAAAUAUAAAUCAGACAGGACACCCCCACUGAUAAUUAACACCAAUGAAGAAAAAGUAGUAACUUAUCAAGAAAACUCUACUAAACCUAUGUGUUAACCUAACACCAGAGCAUUCCAAAAAAGAUUUAAAGAAAGAGAAGGAACUCGGCAAAUAUUAACCUCGCCGGUUUACCAAAAACAUCGCCUCUUGAACAAAUAUAAGAGGUCCAGCCUGCCCAGUGACUCUGUUCAACGGCCGCGGUAUCCUAACCGUGCGAAGGUAGCGUAAUCACUUGUUCUUUAAAUAAGGACUAGUAUGAAUGGCACCACGAAGGUUAUACUGUCUCCUCUUUUUAAUCAGUGAAACUAAUCUCCCCGUGAAGAAGCGGGGAUAAAACUAUAAGACGAGAAGACCCUAUGGAGCUUUAAACCAUGUAGCACUUGCACCUAUCAAACACAAAUUCCAGAAAAAUACACUUCACCCAUGCAAGAUUGCUGCCAGUUUUAGGUUGGGGUGACCGCGGAGCAAAAAUAAACCUCCACAUUGAAAGGAACCCACUCCUUAGCCAAGAGUUACACCUCUACGCACCAUAAAAAUGACAUUAAUUGACCCAAUAUUUUGAUCAACGAACCAAGUUACCCUAGGGAUAACAGCGCAAUCCACUUUAAGAGCUCCUAUCGACAAGUGGGUUUACGACCUCGAUGUUGGAUCAGGGUAUCCCGGUGGUGCAGCCGCUACCAAAGGUUCGUUUGUUCAACGAUUAAAACCCU
rnacentral:rRNA from 1 species